GAUGAACGCUGGCGGCGUGCCUAAUACAUGCAAGUCGAGCGAACGGACGAGAAGCUUGCUUCUCUGAUGUUAGCGGCGGACGGGUGAGUAACACGUGGAUAACCUACCUAUAAGACUGGGAUAACUUCGGGAAACCGGGGCUAAUACCGGAUGAUAUUUUGAACCGCAUGGUUCAAAAGUGAAGGACGGUUUUGCUGUCACUUAUAGAUGGAUCCGCGCUGCAUUAGCUAGUUGGUAAGGUAACGGCUUACCAAGGCAACGAUGCAUAGCCGACCUGAGAGGGUGAUCGGCCACACUGGAACUGAGACACGGUCCAGACUCCUACGGGAGGCAGCAGUAGGGAAUCUUCCGCAAUGGGCGAAAGCCUGACGGAGCAACGCCGCGUGAGUGAUGAAGGUCUUCGGAUCGUAAAACUCUGUUAUUAGGGAAGAACAUAUGUGUAAGUAACUGUGCACAUCUUGACGGUACCUAAUCAGAAAGCCACGGCUAACUACGUG
rnacentral:rRNA from 1 species